rnacentral:rRNA from 1 species
AUUGAACGCUGGCGGCAGGCCUAACACAUGCAAGUCGAACGAGUGGCGGACGUGUGAGUAUGUCUGGGAAACUGCCCGAUGGAGGGGGAUAACUACUGGAACCGGUAGCUAAUACCGCAUACCAUCGGAUUUGCCCCGAGGGGAUUAGCUAGUAGGUGGGGUAACGGCUCACCUAGGCGACGAUCCCUAGCUGGUCUGAGAGGAUGACCAGCAACACUGGAACUGAGACACGGUCCAGACUCCUACGGGAGGUAGCAGUGGGGAAUAUUGCACAAUGGGCGAAAGCCGGAUGCAGCCAUGCCGCGUGUAUGAAGAAGGCCUUCGGGUUGUAAAGUACUUUCAGCGAGGAGGCGGUAGGGGAAGAAGAAGCACCGGCUAACUCCGUGCCAGCAGACGCGGUAAGAG